GCCCCGUGCCCUCGCGCCGCUGCCCCGGGCUCCAGCGGCUGCUCCCAGCCCGGCGGAGCCUCGUCCUUCCUGCCUGAGGGCUUGUGGGCCGACUUCGCGCUAAUCGCUGUCGCUCUUUGGUCUUCCACCUUGCGUGUCACAAACCCGUGGUCAUCCCUGCUCCGCGAGGCUGGUGUCAGGCUAGGCUGGUAUCUGUUUUGAGGCCGCCCUGACCUGAGAGGUGGUCGCUGCGCGUGAAUUCCACCAGGCCUAACUGCUCUGCUGAUUCGCUUCUUUCCCCUCCUAGAACGAGAUAUUUCUUCCAAACUUUGUUAAAAAGGCUCCCCCAAAGCUGUAGCUCCAGGCUAAAUUCCGCUUAUGCUGAGAUGUUGAGCACUGAACUCCUGACAUCAUCAAAUGGGAUUCAUGUGUCAGAAAGGGGGAUGGAGCCUGGCUCACAUCACCACAUGGACUCGCUGCUCAUUCCUAUCUUUCUUCAUGAUGGAUAAAAUCCUUCCUGCCCAAAACACGUCAGGAAUUCACCUCCCAAGCCCUCCUGCCAUGCAAAAAAUUACCUGCUCCUGUUGUGUUAGCAUCUCUGGCUUUAUCUACAAGGAAGAGUACAGAGCUGGAACUUCUGGAUGGCUGAGCUCCUGGCCAAGUGCUUCAGAUUCAUCUCUUGGCUUUAUAGCUGGUAAAUGUCGUGACUGAGGCAAAAGGGAGACUGUUCUGUGUCUCUCUUGAAGUGGAGGGAGCAUCAAAACCUUACAGGCAGGUGCAAGCCAAGGGACAGGAAGUAUGUGUGUGCUUUGUGUGGUGAAAUGCAGCUGUAAUUUGCAAAGGCCAUGGCUGCUUUGAAGGGGAGACUCUUCAGUCAUCCCCCCCCCCCCCCAAAGCAGACAGUGUGUCAGAGCCCUCCCACAUGUUGAUGAGGCAGGUGAAUCACUGUACCAUCACCCACUGGAUAGCCAAGAACACCUCCCACACUACCUGUGGACUUGUCUAUGCCAAACUGAUGGGCAGACCAGAGACCACCACAGCCUCAGUCAUGGCUGUACAUGGUGCAGCACACCAGACCACACAGGAGCUGUACAAGUUCUCCAGAGAAGUGGUGGCAGCCUUGACUCUGUACUGAUGGAAGUAUGGUAUUCACAGGACCUGCUGGCACCACUGAAUCAAGAACUGCAGGGCACUCGGGAUCCACUGCAGCCUGGAAGUGAACUUGAUGAGCCUUUAUCAGUGCAAGGCGGGGGUGGAAUCUGCCAUGGGUGUGGAUUUCUGAGUGGCUAGCCAAUCAGCACUUUCCUCUGUGCUCAGCCUCCUUCAGGAACCUCCGAAUGUGGCAGCACCCAAAGCAUGCUGGGAUCACUACAUGCCAGACCCCUGACUGUAAAGCACCAGUAGUACUUGUUGCCAUGCUCCAGCACUCUGGACAACCAGACACACAAUUUGUUCUGAGGCAUAAGAUUUGA